AUUAACAAAUUAGCAUCGAAACUCGUGUUUAGUAAGUGUUCUUGGUGCUUACUCAGUUACUGCUAACCUGGACAGCUUCCGUUUGCUCGGUGAUUGUUUAUCGAAACAUUGAAUGCACCUUGUGCGAUUGUCUGGCUAUAGAAUAUCAACCCCAACACAUAGUGACAUAGCCAUAGCAGAUGUUCCUUCAGAGUUGAAAUAAAUGAAGAUAAUCUACUUCCUAGGCGAAAUCUCUGCAAGAUGACGGGGAUGGCAGUGAACAGUUUUUCAGAUUUCCCUUAGCGAAAAUGCCAAAAGUAAGCUAUCUCUCCACUGUUCACUGGACCUGACAGAGAAUCUGGUAUUGAAAUCACUGAAUCCAAAUCUAGUUGCAGCCAAAGUGAGCGAAAGUAUGAAAAAUGUUAUGAAUCAAGAAAGACCUUCAGUUAAGACCAAGGAAGUGAUUACAGUUAACACAAGUCUGGACCUGGACACAUUCUCAAAGCUCUUACCUUUCUUGUGAUGUUACUUUGUGAAUUCUCCGGUGAAUGAAGAAAACUAACUAAAUGUGGAGGACCAAGCCUUAAAAACUACUAGACUUAUCAAGACUACAAAUCCAAUUUAUUCAACUAAUGCUGAUGCCUCAAACACAACCAGACUUAACCAGACCACUGACCCAACCUAUUCAACUAAUGCUGAUGCCUCAAACACAACCAGACUUAACCAGACCACUGACCCAACCUAUUCAACUAAUGCUGAUGGCUCAAUGGAUAAAAAAAUCCUAAUGGUCAUUUCAAUUUGCUCAACUUUCUUGAUUGCUGUUGCAUUGGUUUGUACUGGCAUUUUAAUUUACAUUUUGGAAAAGAGUAUUCAAUGUCGGUUCAGGUGAAAUUAUUUUUUGUAUUUAAAGGAUUAUAAGCUACAUUUGUUUUGAUUUUUAAAUCAACUUUCUCAUCCUUUUUAUGUUUCCCAUGUUUGGUACUUGAAUAAUAGAAUACAGACGGUACUUCAAAAAAGAAGAUGAUUACUAUUUGGGCAUAAAUAAACCCACUCCUUUGUAGACACUACUUCCAUCUUUAUAAAACUCUAAACCAGGCCCUCUUAGUCUUUAAAUGCCCCUAAUUAAUUCACAAAUUCUGUUACCACAUUAACCCAGCAUAACCAGCUGAAAAAAACAACAAAUUAUGCUAUUCUUCCUUGGUACAGACCGCAAAAGAGCUCAGGGCAAAAAGCUGGCUGGAAAAACUAGAACGUCGCAGAGCAGUCCUCUGUAUUUUUAGUUCCUAUUUCUCACAAUGAUGCUAAAUGUUUUACUCACCGUAAACUUUUUUUUA